rnacentral:rRNA from 1 species
AGAGUUUGAUUCUGGCUCAGGACGAACGCUGGCGGCGUGCCUAACACAUGCAAGUCGAGCGGAGAUAGAGGAAGAGCUUGCUCGGAAUUUAUCUUAGCGGCGGACGGGUGAGUAACGCGUGAGUAACCUGGCCUAUACAGGGGGAUAACAGCUGGAAACGGCUGCUAAUACCGCAUAAGACCACAGUAUCACAUGGUACAGGGGUCAAAGAAUUAUCGGUAUAGGAUGGACUCGCGUCCCAUUAGCUAGUUGGCAGGAUAACAGCCUACCAAGGCGACGAUGGGUAGCCGACCUGAGAGGGUGAUCGGCCACACUGGGACUGAGACACGGCCCAG